ACUCCUACGGGAGGCAGCAGUGGGGAAUAUUGCACAAUGGGCGCAAGCCUGAUGCAGCCAUGCCGCGUGUAUGAAGAAGGCCUUCGGGUUGUAAAGUACUUUCAGCAGUGAGGAAGGCGGUGACGUUCAGUUAAUAGCGGCCUCGUUUUGACGUUAGCUGCAGAAGAAGCACCGGCUAACUCCGUGCCAGCAGCCGCGGUAAUACGGAGGGUGCGAGCGUUAAUCGGAAUUACUGGGCGUAAAGCGCGUGUAGGUGGCUUUGUUAAGCCAGAUGUGAAAGCCC
rnacentral:rRNA from 1 species